rnacentral:rRNA from 1 species
GUUUGAUCCUGGCUCAGGAUGAACGCUAGCUACAGGCUUAACACAUGCAAGUCGAGGGGAAACGACAUCGAAAGCUUGCUUUUGAUGGGCGUCGACCGGCGCACGGGUGAGUAACGCGUAUCCAACCUGCCCACCACUUGGGGAUAACCUUGCGAAAGUAAGACUAAUACCCAAUGAUAUCUCUAGAAGACAUCUGAAAGAGAUUAAAGAUUUAUCGGUGAUGGAUGGGGAUGCGUCUGAUUAGCUUGUUGGCGGGGUAACGGCCCACCAAGGCGACGAUCAGUAGGGGUUCUGAGAGGAAGGUCCCCCACAUUGGAACUGAGACACGGUCCAAACUCCUACGGGAGGCAGCAGUGAGGAAUAUUGGUCAAUGGGCGAGAGCCUGAACCAGCCAAGUAGCGUGCAGGAUGACGGCCCUAUGGGUUGUAAACUGCUUUUAUAAGGGAAUAAAGUGAGAGUCGUGACUCUUUUUGUAUGUACCUUAUGAAUAAGGACCGGCUAAUUCCGUGCCAGCAGCCGCGGUAAUACGGAAGGUCCGGGCGUUAUUCGGAUUUAUUGGGUUUAAAGGGAGCGUAGGCCGGAGAUUAAGCGUGUUGUGAAAUGUAGAUGCUCAACAUCUGAACUGCAGCGCGAACUGGUUCC